rnacentral:rRNA from 1 species
CCCUUAGAUGUUCUGGGCCGCACGCGCGCUACACUGAUGCAUUCAACGAGCCUAUCCUUGACCGACAGGUCCGGGUAAUCUUUGAAUCUGCAUAGUGACGGGGAUAGAUUAUUGCAAUUAUUAAUCUUCAACGAGGAAUGCCUAGUAGGCGCAAGUCAUCAGCUUGCGUCGAUUACGUCCCUGCCCUUUGUACACACCGCCCGUCGCUCCUACCGAUUGGGUGUGCUGGUGAAAUGUUCGGAUCGGCCGUUUGUCGCGGUUUCCGCGGCUCGUGGCUGAGAAGUUCAUUAAACCCUCCCACCUAGAGGAAGGAGAAGUCGUAACA